rnacentral:RNase_P_RNA from 1 species
GAAGUUCGCCAGGCAGUCGCUGCGUACCUCGUGUGCGUGGAGGAAAGUCCGGGCCCCGCAGAGCAGGAUGCCGGCUAACGGCCGGGCGCCGCGAGGCGACGGAAAGUGCAACAGAGAGCAAACCGCCGAUGGCUCGGACGUCGCUGCCGCAAGGUGGCAAAGUCCAUAUCGAAGAAUGAGAGUUCUUCGAUGGAGAUCAGGUAAGGGUGAAAUGGUGGGGUAAGAGCCCACCGCAGGACUGGCAACAGGACUGGCACGGUAAACCCCAUCCGGGGCAAGGCCAAAUAGGGGAGCAAUGGCGUGGCUCGCGCUGCUCCCGGGUAGGCUGCUAGAGCGCCGUGGUAACACGGCCCCCAGAGGAAUGACUGCCCGGCGCUUGCGGCGUAAGCCGCAGUCGCUCGACAAAACCCGGCUUAUCGGCGAACUUCCCAU